rnacentral:tRNA from 1 species
GCACUCUUAGCUCAGUUGGUUAGAGCGCUCCCUUCACACGGGAGAGGUCGUAGGUCCGAAUCCUACAGAGUGCA